CCCUUAAUCCAACAUGACUUGAGUCCUUAUAAUAAAAGGAGAAGACGCACAGACAGAAAUACAGAGAAGGCAGGAUGUCCAUGGAGACAAAGAUCAGUCCAGCAGCCAUCUGAAACUAGAGCGGCAAGGAAGCAUCGUCCCCUAGACCUUCAGCAGGGGCAUGGUCCUGCUGACACCUUGAUUUCAGACUUCUGCCUCCCCGCCCAGAACGGUGAGACAGUAAACGUCUGCUGUUGUAAGUCCCCCCCGUCUGUGACACUUUUGUCACGGUGGCCCUCGGAAGCUGGUACACACUCCCAUCCUGUGCCAAGCCGGGAUCGAGGCACGGAGAACAGAGCAGAAGCUGAGAUGAUGUACGGCAGGUCCCUCCUUCCAUCCUGGACCCUCAGCUUGCCCCCAUCACACUGAAGACAUGAGGGCCUUCAGAGUAACACAGAGAUCUUCUUCACUGUGCAACUUCCCACUGGGAGCAAACAAACCUACAGGAUGUAGAGGGGACUAGUCAGCUCCUCAGAAGAAGAGGCUCACGAGACAGAGCCCCUCUGGUCCAGAACUGUGUUCGUUUGAGACGGUUGUCAAAAGAGACUUUCAAACUCUGGAAGGUGUGAGAUAACUGCUGUUGUUCAGUCUGAGAGUCAUGUAAGACUUUUUGCGACCCCAUGGACUGCAGCACGCCAGGCUCCUGUGUCCUCCAGUAUCUCCCAGGGUUUGUUCAGAUUCACGUCCACUGAAUUGGUGAUGUUAUCUAACCACCUCAUCCUCUGCCACCCCCUUCUCCUGCCUUCAAUCCUUCCCAGCACCAGGGUCUUUUCCAAUGAGUCAGUUCUUCGCAUCAGGUGGCCAAAGAAUUGGAGUUUCAGCUUCAGCAUCAGUCCUUCCGAUGAAUAUUCAGGGUAGGUGUGUAGGUUGAUGUAAAACACCCAGGCUUCACUUCAAAACCCUCAAAAUAGUGUUUGAUGGAUGGAUUUAGAUCAGAGAACUUUUCAACUGGGAGGAGCCAAGAGAUGAUGCAGUCCACCUACCUCAGAGGGAAUCUGAGGCCGGGGAGGGGCUCACCCCCAGAGGGAGAC
ensembl:lncRNA